rnacentral:tRNA from 1 species
GUUUAUGGGUGGGUUCACGUCAUUUUUUCAUAAUGAAGGAGGUCUAUUU